CUCCCCUGCGGCCCCCUAGCCCAAUGCUGUCCUCCCCUGCGGCCCCCUAGCCCAACGCCGUCCUCCCCUGCGGCCCCCUAGCCUAAUGCCGUCCUCCCCUGCGGCCCCCUAGCCUAACGCCGUCCUCCCCUGUGGCCCCCCUAGCCCAACACCGUCCUCUCCUGCGGCCCCCUACCCCAACGCUGUCCUCCCCUGCGGCACCCCUAGCCCAACACCGUCCUCCCCUGCGGCCCCCUAGCCCAAUGCCGUCCUCCCCUGCGGCCCCCUAGCCUAACGCCGUCCUCCCCCUGUGGCCCCCUAGCCUAACACCGUCCUCCCCUGCGGCCCCCUAGCCUAACGCCGUCCUCCCCUGCGGCCCCCUAGCCUAACGCCGUCCUCCCCUGCGGCCCCCUAGCCUAACGGCGUCCUCCCCCUGCGGCCCCCUAGCCCAACGCCGUCCUCCCCUGCGGCCCCCCUAGCCCAACGCUGUCCUCCCCUGUGGCCCCCUAGCCUAACGCCGUCCUCCCCCUGCGGCCCCCUAGCCCAACGCCGUCCUCCCCCGCGGCCCCCUAGCCUAACGCCGUCCUCCCCUGCGGCCCCCUAGCCCAACGCCGUCCUCCCCUGCGGCCCCCCUAGCCCAACGCUGUCCUCC
rnacentral:lncRNA from 1 species